GCCAGGUGUGGUAGUGCACAACUGUAAUCUCAGUGGCUUGGAGGCUGAGCCAGGAGGAUCCUAAGUUCAAAGCCAGCCUUAGCAAAAAGCAAGGCUCUAAGAAACUCAGAGAGACCCUGUCUCUA
rnacentral:sRNA from 1 species